rnacentral:lncRNA from 1 species
UGUAACCAACUAACAAGAUGGCUAAGCUGUUGAUGUCCAUUGCUCUCUGUCUCCUCCUCGUGUACGUUAGCGAGGCCCGCCCUAUGCGGAAACCCUUCGUCCUCCAUGGCCGCGUCUACUGCGACACUUGCCGCGCUGGAUUCGAGACCUCCGCAACCACUUACAUCGCCGGUAACGCCUUCUUGCUUUUAGCUUUUAUAUAAUCGUUCAGAAACAUGGUGUCUCAAAGUAUUUGUUAUUGUGCAUGGAUCUGGACCAUUUGAUUGGUGGAUCAUCCUUGGAGGGUUUUUCCCCCAAUUUGGUGGCCAGAUCUGAUGAUUGUGGCGAUGGUUUUCACCAGUUUUUGUUGACUAUAUCCUAUCAACGGCAUAGAUCUAUGAGUUUUUGCGUACAAAUGUUCUUAACCGUCUGCAUUGGACAACGAAGAUUCCUUAUUUUUCUUCUGCUCUACUACAUCUAUUUUAUUAUUAUUAGCAUAACUAUCCUUAUUUUGUUAAUUGUUAUUUCUUCUGCUUUUGCUAGUACUGCAGCCGUUUUAUUAUUAUCAUCAGUCAUAGGCUUUAUUGUUGUUAUGGUAAUGCAAAAAGACAAACACAAUGGGUCCCCCAUAGGGUUCUGGUGCAAUCACUCUGGCUCUACUGCCAGCAUGUUGAGGCUUAGGGUUCAUGGUCUACUCCAUAUGGAGGUGUGAAAAAUCAUGUGAUGUGUAGCAUGUGAUGGCUAUUAUUAGCCUCAUCAUGUGAAUUGUCAAGGUUCACGCGGAUCAUAUGGAGGUGUGGUUGCUUCCUCAUUAAAGAAUUCUUUUGGAUUUUGAUUUUGGAGUCUACAACAGAAGCAAUCACAACCCAACACAGAAUACUCCUUUUAUACUGCCAUUGCAGAUGAUUGCUUAAGAGCAUCAAGAAUGACUUGCAAGUUGUAUCCAUGUAUCAGUUUAUUAUAUUUUUGUUUGUGUGGGAUUGGGCUUCAACAAUUUGUAGUAAAUUGGUAAUUUUUGUUUUUUCCAAUCUUAUCAAAUCCAAAAUUGUUUUAUCUCUUCAAAUGAUUCAGUGUUAUUCCCCGUUCCAAAAGAUAUUAUUUCAGAUAUUUCAAUGUCAAAUUAUGUGCUUGGGCAGGUGCAAGAGUUAGAAUUGAGUGCAAAGACAGGAACAGCUUACAGCUUGUUUACAGCGUUGAGGGGGUGACUGACUCAACUGGAACAUACAAGUUCUCAAUUGCAGAUGAUCAUGGGGACCAAAUGUGUGAUGCUGUUCUAGUGAAGAGCCCACAGCCUGACUGUGCAAAAGUAGAUGCAGGACGCGAUCGCUCCCGUCUUAGCCUCACCCGCAGCAAUGGUCUUGUUUCUGAUACUCGUUUUGCAAAUGCCAUGGGAUUCAUGAAGGAUGAG